AAAAAGAUAAGCUAAUUUAAGCUAAUGGGCUCAUACCCCAUCUAUGUGAGUAAAUCUCUCUCUUUUUA
rnacentral:tRNA from 1 species